rnacentral:rRNA from 1 species
UACGUAGGGACCGAGCGUUGUCCGGAUUCAUUGGGCGUAAAGAGCUCGUAGGCGGCUAUUCAAGUCGAACGUGAAAUCUCGGAGCUCAACUCCGAAACUGCGUUCGAUACUGGGUAGCUAGAGUCUGGUAGGGGGAUCUGGAAUUCCUGGUGUAGCGGUGGAAUGCGCAGAUAUCAGGAGGAACACCGGUGGCGAAGGCGGGUCUCUGGGCAGUAACUGACGCUGAGGAGCGAAAGCGUGGGGAGCGAACAGG